UAUACGAAUCUCGGCAACGGAUAUCUCGGCUCUCGCAUCGAUGAAGAACGUAGCGAAAUGCGAUACUUGGUGUGAAUUGCAGAAUCCCGUGAACCAUCGAGUCUUUGAACGCAAGUUGCGCCCGAGGCCUUUCGGUUGAGGGCACGCCUGCCUGGGCGUCACGC
rnacentral:rRNA from 1 species